rnacentral:lncRNA from 1 species
CGUUUGUUCACUCACUUUCUGUGAAAAGAGUUUUGAAAUGUAUUCUGAAUAGACAGCAUUUCCUUUGUGUAGUUGGUAAAUAACGGAGAGCAAAGUUAGUCAGCAAGUUACAUAGUUUCUGCAUUCUGAUUCUUUGGAGCCCUUUUGUAUCAAGCCUGGGCAGGAUGUUUUUAACAGAAUGUGACCUCACAAGCAUACUAGAGAAAAGAAUCUUGGAUUGGACUGUGUGGAGAAAUCGAAAAAGAAAUAUCAUAAGAGAAAUUGAGGGUAAUUCUCCAUAUCCAGGAAAAGACUGCUGGGUACACAUCAGUAGAGAAUCACCAAAGAAAGGACUGUUCAGUGAGGAUUUAACUGCAAAGAUCCCCAUCUUUCCCCUGGGCUUUUCGAUCUUUCUAGUGUCACUGAAAGAGCAUCCUCUUCCACCUGUGUUUACUGUGGUGAGAACUCCUCACCUAUACUUAGUUCCAAAAGGAAGUCAUUUCUGAGACACCCAUUAGUGGAGGACAAAGACAAAUUGAAAAAGAAACUGAAAAGCUUAUGACAUGCAGUCAUGUCUGUGUUGAAAACAAAAUAAAAAGGGAAAAAGUCACA